rnacentral:lncRNA from 1 species
GCUUUGGAGGGUCCUCCACAGCAACUCCUUGUGAGUCUUCCUGGUUGAACAGUGGCAAGAUCUCUUCCCGUCUCCUCCAAGGAGACAUAAUGGCUAGCACAUCAGAGGGUUCAGGGAACCCAUCUUCAAGGACUUCCAGGUUUUCAUUCAAGCUCUCCUCUAAACUCUUGUCACAGUGCUCUUCAACCAAAGUGUUGAUCAAGCAUACUUCCUCAAAUCCUUCUUCCUCUUCAGGGUAAAGAUGCCUCUUACAUAAGUGGAAUAUGUUUACUUCCAAAGUCAUGUUUCCAAAUGUGAGUUGCAUCACCCCAUUCCUACAGUUAACGAUGGCAUUUGAGGUAGCUAGAAAAGGCCUCCCUAGGAUGAUUGGCACAUAAUUUUCUUCUUUGAUAGAGGAAUCAGUAUCAAGCACCACAAAAUCCACAGGAUAGUAGAAUUUGUCCACUUGAACUAGAACAUCCUCUAUCACACCCCUUGGGAUUUUGACUGACCUAUCAGCUAAAGAGAGGGUCAUGGCUGUAGGCUUUAAUCCUCCAAGUCCCAGUUGUUUAUAAACAGAGUAUGGGAGCAAAUUCACACUUGCUCCCAAAUCUAAUAAAGCUUUUUCCACAUGUGUCCCUCCAAUGUUGACUGAUAUGGUGGGACAUCCCGGGUCUUUAUACUUAACUGGGGACUUACUCUGGAUGAUAGCACUCACUUGCUCAGUGAGGAAUGCAUUCUUUGUCACCUGUAAACCUCUCUUGACUGUGCACAAGUCCUUUAGAAACUUUGCAUAUGUGGGGACUUGCUUGAUCAUAUCAAGUAAAGGUAUAUUCACCUUCACUUGCCUCAGCACUUCAAGAAUUUCUGAUGAAUUCUUGACUUCUUUCUUUCCAUGUAAAGCUUGAGGAAAAGGGGGAGGCAUAUGUUUCUUCAUCAUAUCCUCCUUAAUCACUAUCCUUGGUUCUUCCUUAAUGCUUGAUUUGGAUGCACUUUUCUUCCCACUCUGCUCUUCUUGGUUUUUACUCUCUUUAACCAAGGGUCUCUUUGUCAUGAGCUCUUCAUCUUGCUUCACCUUAGGCAAAGGUUGAUCAACCUCCUUUCCACUCCUCAAGGUUAUCACAGCUUUGACCUCCCUCAACUUUGAAGAAUCCCCCUCUUGGGUUUCAACUUCAUGAACACCCUUAGGAUUUUGGCUUGGUUGAGAGGGGAAUUUUCCUUUCUCAUUCACUGUGUUGAGGUUGGUAAGUCUAGAGAUGGAGUACUGAAUAUUAUCUAUCUUAUGAUAUAGAUCAUUUUGCAUCCCAUCCAUUCUCUUAUUUAGAGAACUCUCAACAUUCUCUAUCUUUUGGUGCAAUUGGGAGUUGAUUGCCCUUUGUUCACCCACAAAGUCAUUCAUGACUUUACUUAGGUUUGCAAUGGCUUGCUCCACUGAAGAUGGUUGUUGAGGUGCUUGGGUUUGGCCUUGUGGUUGGUAAGGAGGUGGUCUUGGUUUCCAAGAAAAAUUUGGGUGGUUUCUCCAGCUUGAAUUAUAGGUGUUACCAUAGGGUGCAUUGGUGUUAGGCCUAAAUUGCCCCACAACAUUGGCUUGAUCACCUAACAUUUCUCUCACGGCUGGCAUGGUUGGGCACUCAUCUACCACAUGAUCACAUGAUUGGCAAAUGGUGCAUGGCAUGGCAUGGGCUUGAGUUUCGGAAAGAGCUUGGACGUCAUGCAUCUUUUUCAACUCAAGUUCUUCCAACCUCCUUGCUAUUGUUGCCACCUUAGCUUUCAUGUCCACAUCUUCACUCAACAUGUACAUUCCAGCCUUUGGAUUUUGGGUUUGUUGAGAGAGGAAUUUUCCUUUCUCUCUUGAGUUGGGCUCAUCCCAUCCUUUUGACACCUCAGCCACAUAACUUAAAAAGUCCAUGGCUUCAUCAGGAUUCUUACUCAUAAAAUCUCCCCCACACAUGGUCUCAAGAAUUUGCUUCAUGGAAGAAGACAUUCCAUCAUAAAAAUAGCUCACUAAGAGCCAUGUAUCAAAACCAUGAUGAGGACAAGCAUUGAUAGCCUCCAUAUACCUUUCCCAACACUCAUGGAACUUCUCAUUUUCUUUUGCAGAAAAGUUUGAGAUUUGUCUCUUCAACCCAUUAGUCCUAUGGGUGGGGAAAUAUUUUUUUAGAAAUUCAGCUUGAAGAUCAACCCAAUUCCUUAUGCUCCUUGGCCUUAAAGAAUUAAGCCAUAUUUUUGCCUUAUCCUUCAAAGUAAAAGGGAAUAGCUUGAGUCUCAUCAAGUCUAUUGAAGCUCCUCCCUCUCUAAAAGUAUUACAUACCUCCUCAAACUCCUUAAUGUGAGCAUAUGGAUUCUCACUCUCCAUUCCAUGGAAAGUUGGUAGGAGGGGUACAAUAUGGGGUCUUAUAACUAACUGCUCAAGAGGGGGCAGGAUGCAUGAGGGUGCACUCAUCCUUGGGGGAUGCAUUCUAUCCCUCAUGGAUAGGUAUGCAUUAGGAUUACCCCCUUGACCUUGUUGAGAAUUCUGAUCCUCUGGUGGAGGGUCCAUGAUAUUUACACAGAUAUCCAACUCUGUGUCUUGAGGAUUCUCAAUCCUUACUAAUCUUCCCUCUUGGUCCCUAAUCCAAUAGGGCAUGCACAAGUUACAAUACCUGAAAUAAGACAAAAACAACAAAAACAAAAGGAAUCUAGAAAAAAGGUUAAAGUUAGGAAGAAAAUGAAAAUAAAAUUAACAACAGGGAAAUGAAAGAAAAUGAAAUUAAUGAAAAAGGAAUUCACCUAACUUGUGAUAAAAAUCACAAGUAGCCUCUAAAAGGUUGUAUCACUGUAUUGUGGCACCAUCCCCGGCAACGGCGCCAUUUGAUUCUUUGCGCUUGACUUCCCCAGCCGGAUCUUUUAAUCAAAAACAUUUAUAAAACCUAUGACCUUAUACUGGCGUAGCAAAGCUACUGUAGUAUAGCAGUUCUAGGGUCGAACUCAGGGAUGGGUUUUCACUCUACCAAUGAUAGACUCUAAAUUAGAAAUUGAUUCUGAUGAUUUCCUUUAGCACAAACUUGAAAUUUAAAAGAAAUUAAAAUUGUUUUGAAAGUGGUGAUUUAAACUAAACUCACAUAGAACUAAGUAAAAAGUGGAAGAAAGAAAGUCUCUCGGAGAUAAAGGUUGUUAGGUUCAAGUUCCAGAUGCAAAGUGGAAAAUUCCGGAUUUUUCUCCUCGCAUUGGGGAUUUAACCUAUAGUUAUUUCCCGAACCGGUAUAGGUUUGACAAUGAAGUUUUAAUCCAUAAAAAAUCAUUAGAGAUGGUAGUCAAGGUCCAUUAAUGACUUAAGACACUAUGGACUAUCACCUUGAAUCACUUUCCACUGGCUCGUACAUGAUAACUAAUGGACUGAUAUGGAUCUAGCAAUAAGCAUCCACAGAGACCUUAAGCUUACCAUGUAUUGGCCAGUCAAAGUGAUCCUAAGGGAUUUAAGGCAAAAACCUUGGCUUUAAAAGCCAUUUAUGGACUCCAACUACCUGAAUUCAAUGCACGGAAACUUUCCACCUUUUAAUCUGGACUUUUCACCUAGCUUCCUUCACUCCAAGAAACUAAAUGUUUAGCCUCUCAUCCUCUGGGAAAACAUCCUCAGAGGGUGUUUGGCUUGCAAGAAAAUAGAAAAUAGAAGAGAAAAGAAAGUAAAAGAGAUCUCUGUAUUUCACUAAGUAACAAAUUUACAAUAGUUGGUCUCCUGGAGAAAGCUCCCCGACAAAGAUCUCUAUUCAGUGAUUACAAGAGAAUUUAUAUAGGAAGGUAGUUUUACCCUUCCUUGGAUACUUCCUAGCUAAGGAAUUAUAUGGUUGGUUGAAUACAAGGAGAAAAUGGAAAUUUAAACACAAAAAUAUCAGAAGAAAAAGAGUCGGCAAAAAUAUCCAAUUUUCGCACGCUGAGUUCCAAUUUCGCAUGUUGGUUUGAGGUGUGCGAAAAUUUCGCACAGUGGACUGAGGAUUUCGCACCUUAAACAGUAGUGUGCGAAAUUGUUCCUCAGCUUGAUGCAGUUGUCUUCCGAAGUCCAUAUCUUCCUCAUUUCAGCUCCAAAUCAUAUAUGGUUUGAACCGUUGGAUUCUUGACUUUCUGAGCUUCGAAAUGGUAUAUAGAAUGCAGAAAAUGGACUUCGGGAAGUGCUCCAAAAGUGCACUAAAAGACUGCAGCUGUGUCCCCUGUUUUCAUCCCCUGUUUUCUUCUUCUCCAUUGUUUCUCCCUUGUAAACUUUGAACGAUUAAGGCAAAGGAUUAUGAGGCUCCAUAGCUUGAUUUCUUCAUAAAUUUAAGCUUUCAAAAGCUUUGCCCUGAACUAUAAAUAGCUCUCCCUCAUUCUUAAAUUGCUUUGGUGAGCAUAAAGCUAUCAAAAAGCNNNNNNNNNNNNNNNNNNNNNNNNNNNNNNNNNNNNNNNNNNNNNNNNNNNNNNNNNNNNNNNNNNNNNNNNNNNNNNNNNNNNNNNNNNNNNNNNNNNNUUUCAGCUCCAAAUCAUAUAUGGUUUGAACCGUUGGAUUCUUGACUUUCUGAGCUUCGAAAUGGUAUAUAGAAUGCAGAAAAUGGACUUCGGGAAGUGCUCCAAAAGUGCACUAAAAGACUGCAGCUGUGUCCCCUGUUUUCAUCCCCUGUUUUCUUCUUCUCCAUUGUUUCUCCCUUGUAAACUUUGAACGAUUAAGGCAAAGGAUUAUGAGGCUCCAUAGCUUGAUUUCUUCAUAAAUUUAAGCUUUCAAAAGCUUUGCCCUGAACUAUAAAUAGCUCUCCCUCAUUCUUAAAUUGCUUUGGUGAGCAUAAAGCUAUCAAAAAGCACCAAAACUUAACACAAUUGUUAGAAACGAUUGCAAGGGCUCCUAACAUGCUAAUUGGGUUAAAAGGUAAUAAUUACUACUCAAUGGUGUUUAAAAGAGCUAAUUACAAGCUACAAAAUAGCAUGUUUUGAGUAGUAAUCAUCACCCAAUCAUAUCUAGUACUCCAAUGUGUAAUGAAUCUGAACACCUCCAAGGAACAGCCAUACCUAAAACCAUUAUCGACCGAAAAGGGGUAUGCCCCUGUGUAAAGCACACCAGAUGAAAUGCGCUAAUCAUGUCUCAUGCUCCAAUGUGAAAAAAAGACAUCUGAUAUCCCCCGAGGAAUGGACAUGGCUCAAAAAUCCGUCAUCGACUGAGAAGAGUAUGUCUCGACAUAAUGGUCAUUCGAUAGAAAAAAAACUCUCUGAGAUGGCUAUGCCCCAGUGUAGGGUCAUACCAUAACUCCUGGUCCAUCACAAACAGAAUGCUCCCGAAUCAAUCCCAAGGAUCGCUCACAUAAGAGCUAUCAAACACAAUGCAUGAUGAGUCAACAGAACCAGAUGAGCCUAGAUCACCCGUCAUCGAAUGCGCGAUCCAAGUCAUCCACGUGUACAACUGAAUCAGACCCAUAGAUCAAAGAGGCGUCUCUCGGAAGGAAAGCAUGAUGACAUCGAAGCGUUGCGAAGUGCAGGCCUAACUGGGUAACUCCCGAGAGGCUCCACGGAGGAAACAUCGUGUCAAUGUGUAUCUCGUAAGUGGGGAUGAGCGUGCAACUCCAUGAAGAUCCGUAAAUCUCAAUCGAAAAAGGAAAUGUGCCCCAGUAUGGGCAUCGAACGCAUGACAGGUAAAAAAAUCGGGCGACAUGAAAUCAUCUAUCAUCGAUCAUGCGACAUAAGUGAAUAUCCAUAAAUCACAUCUGAAACGGAAAAUAUGCCCCAGUAUGACAUCAAGUGCGCGACAGGUCCGAAGGACAAAUGUCAUGAAAUCAUCUAUCGUUGCACAUGUAACACUAGUCAUCCGAAUCCAUAACUGAAUCAUGCACAUAUAUCCAAGAUGUCCUCCCAGAUGGAGAGGCAUGAUGGCAUCCAAGUGUCGAGAAAUGCGGACCUAGCUAGAUGGAUCUCGGGGUUCCGUAAGGUAACAAUCAUGUCCACGUCUCAGUGAGCAUCCGACAAGUGAUAAUGAUCGUGCAAGUCUGUAAGGAUCCAUAAACCUCCAAAUGAAGUGGGAUAUGCCCCCGGUGUGGCACCAGAGGUACGAUAGGUCAAAAAUCAAGCGACACCAAGUCAAUCAUCGUCAAACUCACGAUCCCGGUAAUCCGAACACAACUGAAUCGGUCCUACAUAUCAAAGAGGCGACUCCCAGAAGAAGAAGCAUGAUGAUAUCUAAAUGUCAACCAGAUCUCAAUCACCUGUCCGAGUAAAGGCUAUCAAAGACGACAUCUGAUCCCACGGCCUCAGGGUGGUCUUAAGACACGGGAUGUAACGUAGGCUAAGGUGAUAGGGUAAUAGAAAUGAAAGGAAACUAGGCCCAAAUACCCGAUGAUUAGAAAACCAUGCCCUCAUAUAUGAAAUGCAAUAUGUAUAGUAAGUCUCGUGAGCUCUGGACCUGAGGAUGUCUAACGUGAAUAUGAUGUAGAUAAGGCGACAAAUGAAGCAAAAUGAGUUGAUAGUGAUAUGUGUAAUGAUGAUGCGAAGUGAGCAUCGAACCCGAGAUGGGUCGCUGUAAGGAGAGAACAAGACGUGAAGGGAAUGAGAUGAAUCACAAGCAAUGAUAAAAACGACAGCGAAACAAUGAAUAUGUGAAGAAAGGUGGUGAUCGACUCAAAUCAAACAUGAAGUGAAGUCACAUCAAGAAUGAAUGUAAUGAUGGAAAGGACAAUGACUCGGAGUCCUUAGGAGAAGGUCACUCAUCUCUCUCAUAAAUAGAUAUGACAAAACAAUACAAAUAACAUGGGAUCUCAGAGAGCUCACAUACGAACUCCCAAUAACGAACAUACUCGAUAAAAAUGACCCCCAAACAUCAAUAUACAUACUCAAUGAUCAAGAACACUAUGCACAUACACACAUGCGCUUUUUUAUUAUUCUUCUUUUUUUUUUCUUUUUUUUUUUUUAUUCAUUCAUUUUUUUUUAUUUUUUUUUUUUUACAUAUAUACAAAUACACACACCCUGAACAUGAACAAAUGAACCCCAAGGAUGAUAUCGAUAACAAAUGAACACACCCCCAAGCGCUAAGGUAACAAACAAACUCUCUCCGACAAGAUGACCUUCUCAAACUAAGGAUCUCUAAACCAGUGUCCACGAGAUAGAUGGUGGAAAUGAUGUGACUAUCCUCCAUGUGAUGAACUAAGGAGGAUCACCACCCAGGGUGAAGAGAAAUAUGAAACAAACAAAUAGUAGAUAGGAUAAGGAAGAAGAGAUGAAUAACAUAACCAAUAAGAUGAGAUGAAAAUGCAGAGGUGCAGUGAUAGGAAAAGAUAAUGAGAAAAGCAUGCCCCUAGGUCCAAAGCUCAUGAAACUACCAAACAAUGCAUGCAUACAUUAAAGAGCCCCUAUCCCGGUGUGAAAAUGUGAGCAAGGCGAUAAGAAAGAAAGGCUGCAAUGCGCAUGCGAGGCUCAAUGGGCUAGCAACAGACUAUGUAUCAAAAGGGAAUAACAAGAUAAUGGCUAACCGAAAUGAUGGCCACCCAUCCUGCGACCAUGGUCUCAAACAUAGUACCUCUUUAGCUGAUCCACAUUGGUUGGCUCUGAGAAUCGGUUUCCAUCUAAAUCCAUCAACCAUGCAGCGCCCUCUGGGGUCAACUCCCUGAUGAAAUAAGGUCCGCUCCAGUUGGGUCUGAACUUCCCUCUAGGAUCUCUGAUCAAUCCUCUAAUGACCAUCACGACUAAGUCAUCCCUCUGUAAUGGUCUAUCAACAAUCUCUGCUAUCCUCCCCUACCGAUGGGAGAUGAAGGAAGAAAUGAACUCAUCUGAUCUCUGUCUCAAACCCUCAAGCUCUCUCCUCAACACCUCUACGACAGUUUUAAAUGGAAACUGUCACAAAAACUCCUGAGCUAGGUCAUCCCAUGUCCUGCCUCGCAAGGACUCCAAAGAUGUGAACUAGCGUUGGGCUACACCACUCAGAGAUAAAGGAAACAUAGUGAUCAUCUGUGACCCGUCUAACCCAUGGGCCCUCAUCACAGUACUGUUGAGUCGCAGAUAAGUGUAGAGACAACCAACGGCCAUGUACCUCUCAAUGUCAAGCAUCCUGAACUUGGCUGGUAGACUGGCCACUGGUAUACUAUCAAGAUCGUCCCAAGUCGAUGAACUACCAAAUAAUCUCAACUGCCUGAUACGCUACUCAAUACGAUCUAUACAUGUAUGAGCAUCCUCAAGGUUUGUGGGCUAGACUAUCGCAGGUGAGGCAACCUCAAAAUGACCAUGUAACAUAUAUGGUGGGGCUUGUGGCACUGUCGAACCAAGUGGUGGUGGUAGAUGUGGCAGUGAAUCACAAGAUGUCUCAUCCUGAACUACAAACUGUCUACUCUGCUGACUGUCUAUCUCCUGUCUGGGACUGGCCGAGGCCUCCUGAAUAGAAGCCAUGGCGGUCGUGAACUGAUCAACUGUGACAAGCUGCUGAUCCAUAUCCGACCUCUCUGAAAAAAACCGAAUCAAUCUCCCCUCUACUCUGAUCCAAUGAGGUAAAUCCAAACUGAGAACCAAGACCCAAUCCAGAAAGCAUGAAGAGCGGAAUAAGAACAUGUCCUAGGGAGAGUACGAAAGAAAUGAUAAUCUGAACAGAAGUAAGCAAGGCAUCCAAGCGAAGACGGACUAUCCGAUCAUACUCAAACUCUUCCUGAUCUCAGUGCACUCUCGACAGGAGACUAAAAAGAUGGAGUAUCAAUCCAAACUAUGACUACGGAGGCUCUGAAAGCCCUCAGAUGCCCCCACGUGUAGGGAGGAAGUCCUAGUCGAAGGAUCUACGGCUCAACUUACAAGGUCAAAGUGGCUCUAAGAGGAAAUGGGUAGACUUCAAAAGAUCCCUAGCAGAAGCGAUCGUACCCUCCGGCGGUACGCAACCCUCUGCACGCCUCCAAAGAGACGGGGCGCUUCCAUGUAAGGUGGUCAUCACCUCCACACAUGCACUACCUCGCAUUCCAAGGGGCUCCUAUGAGGAAAGCUCUCACAACUCUCAGCACUCAAUAAUCGACUAAAGUCCACAGUGAAUGGUGUGGGUGCAUCCGAAAACCCUAUGAAACUAAAAGAAAACACACUGACCACACAAAUAUCCUGAAAUCUAGCUCUGGGCUAUACAAGUCUUCAAAGUUCGGACUCCAAUCAGCAUCAAUAUGUCGACCACCUCCAGAAUGCUCCCAAACAUAGAUAUAGCCCGUCGCUAGACCCUAUUCCUAACCACUAGCUCGGUCGAAGAGCAAACAAGGCAACAAGUCUCAUAUCAAAUAUGAGAGCAAGGAAAACAAUGUCGACCGAGACUAGGGACUUGGAAAUAAGGGGAUAAGUGUGUGUUCCACAUAGACACACAACUCAUGCAGUCGCAUCAGGAUGAGAAGAGUCAUGCAACGGACAGUCAUGCAAAAUAGGUAUAUAUCAUCCAAAUCUACACACAAGCCAAUCAAGAAGAAUACCUGACAAAUGAUAGCAUGCUCUAUGAUAAACAAGAUAAUAUAUAACUGAGAGAAUCAAUCAUGUCAAAUCAAAUGAUAUACAAUGGUGAGUCUAUACAUGUGAGGUAAUCAGAACAAACAUGACAAAAUCAGAAUGACUAUGCUAAGCAAGGCAAGAUGAUCAAUCAAUAUAAUCAGCAUGUCAAUGUACUCAACAAACAUGGCAAUGAAGCACAGAAAAAUCAAAAUCCUCAAUCAAGAUAAUCAAUCUCAUAAUCAGCAUGUCAAAUAUCUCAUACAAAUAUAUCAAUGAAGCAUUAGGAAACUGGCUAUAUUAGAAUCCCCAAUCAAAAUAAUCAACCAACAUGAUCAACAUGUCAAUGUCCCAAGUGAAACCUCGGGAAAUCUUGAUAUGCAAUCAAGAGAUGAGUACCCACUGAUUGACUCACCAAACGCCACAUUUGCUUCACUUUAAGUUCAAGCUUGACCCUCUAAAAAUCCCCAGUGGAUUCGCCAUUUUGUGGACCCCGCAUUUCGGCUCAUGCGUUUCCUACUCGAUGGCGAGCUUGAUUUUAAUUCGAAAAGAAAUGAUUUUAUUGAUUAAGAAAAUGACUUGGAGUCGCCACUUAUUCUUGUUUUAUUUUUAAAGGGUAAACAAAAUAAGAAAGAAAAACCCUAAGUGUGACUCCUUGUUUUGGAAAAAGGUGGUCUGUGAAAAACCGGAUCGGGUUCGGGGGUCAGGUUACUUAUCGGGAAGGUACGGUAGAGACCGUAGCACCCCUCUAAGUCCCUAAAGUCGGAUCUCAACUAAUAAAGUGAAACUGACGUGGCACUCGAAUAAGAAAGUCAAUGGAUACUCACAUCAAUCAUGCAUAUAUGAGAAUCAGAAUAUGUACAGUGUAUGAUCAGAAUGAGUGAAUGUGUACCUGGGCAACAAACAGCAACGCGCUAUCAAGAAACGGGAUUAGUGCACAAUUAAUGAAUACAAAAUAUAUCCUAUGCAUAUCAGAGUGCGAAACGAAGCUCAAACGAAAUACAUUAAGCACGACAAUUGACAGUCAAAAAGGGAUCAAACAUAGGACCCCCAACAAAGCCCGAUUUAUUGUUCAUGAGCUAAUCUCACAGAUCCCGUGUUUUAGAAUUAUGAAGGAAUCAGUAUUGCUUAUGUAAAAUUAAGAAGAUCAGAAGAUUAUUUAGGAACUGAAAUGUGAUUAAAAACUAUUCGAGUGAAAACUGGAUUAUUGGAGUUUAUUUGAAAAUUGGAGUAUUGGGAAUUAAAUUUAAGAGUUGAAAUUUUAGGAUGUCAAACUUGAAAGAAAUUAGAAUUUUAGAAAUCGGAAAUUAAGUUCAGAAAUUGGGAUUCAAAAAAAAUGUUUAAAAAAAUGGAAUUUUGAAAUAAAUAAAUUGAAUAAUAAUAAUAAUGACGAAAAUAAUGAUUAAAUAAAUGAAUGAGAAUGCUGGAAUUUUUGAAUUUGGAAAUUAGAUUUAGAAGUUAGAAAUUUUAAAGAAUUGUUUAAGAUAGAAUUUUAAGAUAAAUAAACAAACUAUUAGUGAUUAAUUUAAUGUGAAUAUGGGAAUUUUCAGGAUUAGGAAUUUAAUUCGUAAAUCAAAAGUUUUAGAGAAUUUGAAUUAAAAUGGAGUUUUGAAAUAAGUAAAUAAAAUACUAAUGAUUAAAUAAAUUAAUGGGAAUACGGGAAUUUUCGGGUUUAGGAAUUUAAUUCGGAAAUCAACGGUUUUAAAGAAUUUGGUUUUGAAAUAAAUAAACAAAUGAAAUACUAAUGAUCAAAUAAUUUAAUGGGAAUAUGAGAAUUUUUGGGAUUGGGAAUUUAAUUCAGAAAUCAGCAGUUUUAAAGAAUUUGGUUUUGAAAUAAAUAAACAAAUGAAAUACUAAUGAUCAAAUAAUUUAAUGGGAAUAUGGGAAUUUUUGGGAUUGGGAAUUUAAUUCGGAAAUCAGCAGUUUUAAAGAAUUUGGUUUUGAAAUAAAUAAACAAAUGAAAUACUAAUGAUCAAAUAAUUUAAUGGGAAUAUGGGAAUUUUUGGGAUUGGGAAUUUAAUUCGGAAAUCAGAAGUUUUAAAGAAUUUUGAUUUAAAAUGGAGUUUUGAAAUAAAUAAUCAAAAUAAUAAUAAUUAAAUAGAUUAAUGUGAAUAUUGGAAUUUUGGAAUUAGAAAUUAAAUUUGAAAUUCGGAAAUUUUAAUGAAUUGUUUAAAAUUGAAUUUUAGAAUAAACAAAUGAAAUAAUAAUAAUAAUGAAAAUAAUAAGGAUUAAAUAAAUAAAUAUGGAAAUUGGAAUUCCAAAAAUUAGGAAAUUGAGUUCAGAAAACGGGAUUUUGAAGAAUUGCUUGAGGAUAGAAUUUUAAAAAAAUAAAUAAAUAGUAAUAAUAAUAAUAAUAACAAAAAUAAUGGUUGAAUAAAUACGUAUGGAAAUUAGAAUUCCGGAAGUUAGGAAAUUGAGUUUGGAAAUCGAGAUUUUGAGGAAUUGCUUGAUGAUAGAAUUUUGAAUAAAUAAAUAAAUAACAAGAAUAAUGAUUGAAUAAAUAAAUAUGGAAAUUAGAAUUCCGGACAUUAGGAAAUUGAGUUUGGAAAUCGGGAUUUUGAAGAAUUGCUUGAUGAUAGAAUUUCAAAUAAAUAAAUAAAAUAAGGAUGAUUUAAAUAAAUUGAUGUGAGAAUUUAAAAUUUCGGAAAGUGGAAUUUAAAUUUAGAAAUUAGAAUUUUGAAAGAUUAUUUUAAAGAUUUGGAUUAGGAAGAUUAUUUGAAAAAAUGUAAGUUUUAAAUUUAAACAAAUGAAUAAAUGGAUAAGGUGAUAACGAUUAGAUAAAUACAUAUAAAAGAAAAACGAAAUCUGGAUUAAAUUUUAAAAAGCGGAUUAUUUAAAGAUGUAAAUUUUAAAUUUAAGUACAUAAAUAAAUGGAUAAGGUGAUAAAGAUAAAUAUAUAAAAGAUCGGAAUUUCGGAAAUCUGGAUUAAAUUUAAAAAAAGCGGAAUUUAGGAGAAUUAUUUAAAUAUGCAAGUUUUGUAAGUAGGGUUUAGAAAUUGGGAUUUAUAAGAUUUACCCAGAAAUUAGGGCUUUAAAAAUUACAUUACUUAAGCUGGAAACAUGGAAAUUACUUAAAAAUUAAAGCAAGCAAACGGGCCAACUUAAAAUGGGUGAGAAGGGUAAAUAAGGUAACAACCUAGGGGCAUUUUGGUCCUCCUUCCUUGGCCUUCAAUUGUUGUAGCCUGGGCAGAUGAAUUUAUUACCAUAAUACCCUGGGGAAUGCACAGGCACUUUUUUUUUGUAGCACUUCUAACAGAAGAACGUGCAAGGUUUGUAGUGCUGUGUCUUGCUGCGCCUCUUCGAGCACUGUGACGGGCAUUGGAAGCUCUUCGGACUCCCCGGACCAUGGUUCCUUUGGUCGUAGUGGUGACCGCCAUGGCCAUGCGAAGCUAAAACAAUGGUGUGAAGCAUGGAAAUGGCAAGAAGAGCCAAGAGAAACAGCGCAAACACCCUCGCCAUGGCAAUAUAAUGCUCCGGACAAACUCCUUCUCUGAUAAGUCGAGAGCAUGGCAAAUGCACCCUCUUUGCUGACAUGAACAAUAUCUAAGACUUCCACGUUUCCAGGCCCCAAUACCCAUUUCAAGAACAGGGGAAAACAGCGAAACAGAGCACAAAUAAUAGGAGCAAAAUGGACCCGUACCAGCCUCACUCCAUAUAUCAAUUAAUGAGCUCAGAAAAGAAAUUAGGAAUCAAGCACAUAGUGGGUGAAAGUAAGCUCAGAUUCCAGAAAAAAUAAAUAAAUUACAAGGAUCCACAAUAUGCAUGUUCAGACAUCAAAAAUGAAAAUCCUCAUGCAUAGAAACUAUCAUAACAUGGCAUCAAAAACAAACAAAAAAUAAAUAAAUGAAUGAAUCCGGUUUUCAGAAUCCAUACCUGAGUUAUUCCACUUUCCUGCUCGUUUCCUCGGUAUGUCUCUCUCUCAGUCCCACCUCUCCAGUCCGUUUUCCCGUUGAAAGAUCCCCAGAAAAAAUGCUCAGCCCUCUGGUUCCCCCCUCUCUACAGCAACGAGAAGACCUGUCUCCUCUGGUGGCUAGUCGUCCUCCUCUCUAGCUGCCCCAAAGCAGCCCACUCGAGAGACCUGUCAGAAGCCGCACCCAAAAGUAAUAAUAACCCUAAAAAAAACCCAAAGCUCCUCGGGGGGUCUACAGCCGUAUCUAUAAUUUACGUCUUUUUUUCUAAUUAUUAUUAUUAUUAUUCUCAUUUUUAUGGUUAACCUAUCAAAUAAGAAUAAUAUUAACACUAAUACAUAUAAAUAAUAUAAUAAUUAAUUAUAAAUUAUUGUUUCAUUCUUAUAAUUACAAAUUUAAGUUAUUAUAUUUUUUAUUAUAUAGAUUUCAUAAAUUUUGAAACGUUUAAUUUUGCAAAAUAACUAUUAAUAACAAUCAUUUUUAUAACAAAAAUCAUAAACUUUGAAAAAAAAAAAUUGUCUUCUAAGGUUGAUUAUAGUAAAGAGAAUUUUAAGGUGCAUAAGACGGUUAUUCACAAGUGUUUGUUUAAAAAUAAAUUAAAUUAAGUUACGUACCUCUAACUUGGAUAUAAUAUUAGUUCUAUUAAUAAUAUUUAUAAUGUAAAACUAACAUUAUAAAUAAUAAUAUUAGUUAAGUGUUCAGGAUAAUAAUAAUUUAAUUAGUCUUAUCUUAGCAUGUAAAGCACUAAAAAAAUAAUUUUUUAAAUAAAGAUUACAAGCCUUGAGAAUUAAAAAAUAAAUAAAAAUGAUUUUUUUUGGGUUUUUUAAUAGUAAUAAUAAAAAUAUAAUAAUAUUAUUUUUAAUAUACUAUUGUAGACCCCCUUUGAAGAGCCAAGGGGUAUUUAGUUUUUUUAUAUAUAUUAGAGGAGCUGGCAGCACCCGAGAAGUGUGGGGGGGACCCCUCUCCAUGCGUGGGACCAGCUGCAAGAGACGCCAUGCUGCUGAUGAAGGAAGCCAUGCUGCUGACGGCUGAAACAGGGAAGCAGGUGAUGGUUUGCUGGAGAAGGUAGGAACCGACUAGAGAGAAAAAGAGAGGAAAAGAAAUAAAGAAAAGGCUGGCUAGGGGGGGGGGACAGUUGGAGCUGGAUUUUUAGAGAGGAAGAGGGGGCGUAGGGGAUUUUUCAGAGGAAGCGCCUGGAGGGUGAUCUGGAGGAUUUGAAGGGCAACUGAGAGAAAAGAGAGAAAAUCAGAGAAUGAGAUUGAGAGAGAAGCAGGCUGAAGGAAAACCCGAGCAGAACAGAGGAACGGGAAGAGAGAGAGAGAGGAGCUGGGAAAGAGGGGGUUGAAAAAGGAUUUUCAGCAAAAGGCAUUUUCGGGAUUUUCCAGGUGCGAAUCAGAGAGCAUAUUUAACUGAUCCGUGAGUUGCAUUGACUGAGCUAUAGUUCAUUUCGUUUUCUUCAUUUUGGUGUUGUUGGAAUUAUUUUUGUCUCUGUUUUAUUUGAGUUUGAUGCCCGAAAUCAUGCUUUUCACUUCUGUUAAUUCCACCCACCUUGGCCACGGAUGUCGCCUGAAAAUGACUCUCUCCAUCCAUAACCAGUCAUGCCCAGAAAUUUCAGCGCUGUUUCGAAAAAAUCAGAAAAUGGGCUUCUCUACUGUGAAGGUCUCUGGCAAAGGCUGAAGCAAAAACAAAUAAACAAAUAAAAAAAAAAAAACAAAAGUCAACAAAGUAGCACACAACCCAUUAUAAAAUAUUGAGGCCUGCAGACAAUGGACCCAUUUUCUUUUUUUUAUUAAAUGCUCUCAUCUCUUUUUUAAUUUCCACUUCACGUUUUCAAAUAAAAUUUUUAAAACUUAGGUUUUUAAAUCUAAUUUUCAAAAUCUCAAUUCUCAACUAAUUUUACAAAAAUUCCAAAUU